rnacentral:rRNA from 1 species
UGGCUCAGAACGAACGCUGGCGGCAGGCCUAACGCAUGCAAGUCGAGCGCCCCGCAAGGGGAGCGGCAGACGGGAGAGUAACACGUGGGAACGUACCCUUCAGUUCGGAACAACCAAGGGAAACUUUGGCUAAUACCGAAUACGUCCGUAAGGAGAAAGAUUUAUCGCUGAAGGAUCGGCCCGCGUCUGAUUAGCUAGUUGGUGGGGUAUUUUCCCACCAAGGCGGGGGACAGUAGCUGGUCUGAGAGGAUGAUCAGCCUCACUGGGA